rnacentral:rRNA from 1 species
UCAGUGGCGAACGGGUGAGUAACACGUGAGCAACCUGCCCCUGACUCUGGGAUAAGCGCUGGAAACGGCGUCUAAUACUGGAUACGAGUAGCGACCNNNUGGUCAGUUACUGGAAAGAUUUAUUGGUUGGGGAUGGGCUCGCGGCCUAUCAGCUUGUUGGUGAGGUAAUGGCUCACCAAGGCGUCGACGGGUAGCCGGCCUGAGAGGGUGACCGGCCACACUGGGACUGAGACACGGCCCAGACUCCUACGGGAGGCAGCAGUGGGGAAUAUUGCACAAUGGGCGCAAGCCUGAUGCAGCAACGCCGCGUGAGGGAUGACGGCCUUCGGGUUGUAAACCUCUUUUAGCAGGGAAGAAGCGAAAGUGACGGUACCUGCAGAAAAAGCGCCGGCUAACUACGUGCCAGCAGCCGCGGUAAUACGUAGGGCGCAAGCGUUAUCCGGAAUUAUUGGGCGUAAAGAGCUCGUAGGCGGUUUGUCGCGUCUGCUGUGAAAUCCGGAGGCUCAACCUCCGGCCUGCAGUGGGUACGGGCAGACUAGAGUGCGGUAGGGGAGAUUGGAAUUCCUGGUGUAGCGGUGGAAUGCGCAGAUAUCAGGAGGAACACCGAUGGCGAAGGCAGAUCUCUGGGCCGUAACUGACGCUGAGGAGCGAAAGGGUGGGGAGCAAACAGGCUUAGAUACCCUGGUAGUCCACCCCGUAAACGUUGGGAACUAGUUGUGGGGUCCAUUCCACGGAUUCCGUGACGCAGCUAACGCAUUAAGUUCCCCGCCUGGGGAGUACGGCCGCAAGGCUAAAACUCAAAGGAAUUGACGGGGACCCGCACAAGCGGCGGAGCAUGCGGAUUAAUUCGAUGCAACGCGAA